CAGACCUUGAUUGAACAAAGAAAGGCAAAGUAUGUUUUUGUUGUUUGUUUGGAUGUAUCCAUUGGGGAAUUGUUCAACUGCAACAGCAGCCGCAAUAACCACGAAAACAGCAAAGCAAUGAAAACAACAACAACAACAACAACAACAACAACAACAACAACAACAACAACAACAACAACAACAACAACAACAACAACAACAACAACAACAACAACAACAACAACAACAACAACAACAACAACGAUAACAACAACGAUAACAACAACGAUAACAGCAACGAAAACAGUAGUAGCUGCAGAAACGAUAAAGAUCGAGGACGCGGACGUCAAAGACGACGUGAAAAUGGUGUGUUGUGCCCAUGUAUGGAUAUAUAUGCCACGCCAUUUUCACGUCGUCUUUGACGUCCAGCAACAACAGCAACGAAAACAGCUGCAGCAACAAUAACAACAACACCACCACCACCAACAACAACAACGAAAACAGCAUCAUCAACAACAACGUCAACAACAGCAGCAACAACAACGAAAACAACAAUAGCAACGACAACGAAAACAGCAGCAACGGCAAUAACAACAGCGAAAAAAGCAGCAGCAACAAUAAUAUUAACAAACCAACAACAACAGCAACAACAACAAUAUCAGUAACAGCAGCAACAACAACAACAGCAGCAAUGCAACAACAACAACAGUAGCAGCAGUAACACCGAUAACAACAGCAGUAAAAACAACAACAACCGCAAAGAAAUCAACAUCAUCAACGACAACAGCGACAGCAAUGACGACGACAAAAACCUUGAAUUAUCAAUAGUUUAGUUUUCACUUCAAAUUUAUAUUUUUUCAUGUCCCCAUUUUCUAGAAAAAAGACGAAAACAAAAACAUUGUAAUUACUUGAACAUGGCGGGGGAUAAGUGUGGACUUUUUGUACGAACGAUAUACAUCUUUUAAAUUAAUCGUAAUUUUAAACUAUUUAUUUGAUAUUUGUUGUAAAAGAUUAAUUUUAAUACGAAAUUUGUAAUUAAUGUAAUAAUAUUUUUGCGCCAGACGAGUUGCUUCGAGCAUUGUCAUUUAUUCAACAAUUUAUUCGUCAAUUGGUCAACAUUAAAAUGGUUUCGUUUCAAACGAC